CCGUAGGUGAACCUGCGGAGGGAUCAUUACCGAGUUUACAACUCCCAAACCCCUGUGAACAUACCUAUCGUUGCCUCGGCGGUGCCCGCUCCGGCGGCCCGCCAGAGGACCCCAAACUCUUGUUUUAUACAGUAUCUUCUGAGUAACACGAUUAAAUAAAUCAAAACUUUCAACAACGGAUCUCUUGGUUCUGGCAUCGAUGAAGAACGCAGCGAAAUGCGAUAAGUAAUGUGAAUUGCAGAAUUCAGUGAAUCAUCGAAUCUUUGAACGCACAUUGCGCCCGCCAGUAUUCUGGCGGGCAUGCCUGUUCGAGCGUCAUUUCAACCCUCAAGCCCCCGGGCUUGGUGUUGGGGAUCGGCGUGCCCUCGCGGCGCGCCGUCCCCGAAAUCUAGUGGCGGUCUCGCUGUAGCUUCCUCUGCGUAGUAGCACACCUCGCACUGGAAAGCAGCGCGGCCACGCCGUUAAACCCCCCACUUCUGAAAGGUUGACCUCGGAUCAGGUAGGAAUACCCGCUGAACUUAAGCAUAUCAAUAAGCGGAGGA
rnacentral:rRNA from 1 species